ACGAACGCUGGCGGCAUGCCUAACACAUGCAAGUCGAACGAGACCUUCGGGUCUAGUGGCGCACGGGUGCGUAACGCGUGGGAACCUGCCCUUAGGUUCGGAAUAACUCCCCGAAAGGGGUGCUAAUACCGGAUAAUGUCUUCGGACCAAAGAUUUAUCGCCUUUGGAUGGGCCCGCGUUGGAUUAGCUAGUUGGUAGGGUAAAAGCCUACCAAGGCGACGAUCCAUAGCUGGUCUGAGAGGAUGAUCAGCCACACUGGGACUGAGACACGGCCCAGACUCCUACGGGAGGCAGCAGUGGGGAAUAUUGGACAAUGGGCGAAAGCCUGAUCCAGCAAUGCCGCGUGAGUGAUGAAGCCCUUAGGGUUGUAAAGCUCUUUUACCCGGGAUGAUAAUGACAGUACCGGGAGAAUAAGCUCCGGCUAACUCCGUG
rnacentral:rRNA from 1 species